rnacentral:lncRNA from 1 species
GCCGAAAGUAGAACCCGCAGUCAGUGGAAGCCCUGAUGAUUCUAAACUGUGGCAAGCCCUCAAACUAGAAAGGUUUUGGUAAUUUUUAAAGUCACAAUGUCGUCAAACAAGUGGAGCGUGUUGCAUCAGAGAUGUCUGCGCAGACGUGGUUAUGUGUAAUGAAAAGCUAGAUUCGCAGCCGCACCGUUUCGGGUUCAGUACCGCUGCGUGGAACCUUGGGUGUGUGUCUUCUACUAUUGCCUCGGGCCGAACAAAGCAACGCGAGUGGAUUUGGUAGACGGAAACUGAAAGAAGCCUGUCGUGUUUGUUUGUGCGUGUGUGCGUGCGCGCGUGUCUUUGUGUCUGUGUCCCUCGUCACCGUUUGAGAAUCUGCGUUGGUACAUUUACGUCCGCGAAACUCAGCGGUUCAGCAAAAGAUCCCGAUAGGCUUAAAAGAAAAAAAAUAAGUACUAGAGUCAAUUCAUUCGACUAAAAUUCUUCGAAAUGGUGCCCCAUGAUGGCCGCAGUUUCACGACUGAAACAAGUGCAAGUUAAAAAACAAAAAAAAAUUACUGAGGUCAGAAAUAGAGACAGAAUCACCAAUGAAGAAAUCUUACCAAGAGCAGUUUAUAAAUUUCUUGCUAGUGUAGGCACAAGGCCAGCAAUCUUAGGGGAGUGAUAAGUCUAUUACAUUGACUCCAGUGCUCAGUUAGUACUUAUUUUAUGGACCCCGAAGGAUGAAAGGCAAAGCUGACCUUGGCGAAAUUUGAACUCAGAACGGAAAGCCGAUAGAAUGCCGUCAAUCAAUUUUUUCCGGCGUGAUAACGACUCUGCCAAGCUCGCAACCUUCGAUCAGAUUGUCAAUUAGUUUCAAAUUUUGGCACAAUGCCAGCAAUUUCGGGGCAGGGCGGAAGUUGAUUAUAUCGACCCAAGUGCUCAACUGGUACUUAUUUUAUAGACCCUGAAAUGAUGGCAGGUAUACUCGACCUCGGUAAAAUUAGAACACAAAACGUAAAGACAGAUGAACCGCCGCUACGCAUUUUACGCGGCGCAGUAGCCAUUUUGCUAGCUAACCGCCUUCGAACAGAUUCUAAAUUAUUUACAAAUAUUGCUAAGCAGCGCGAACUCCCCUUUUCAGGACAUAUAUUGCGCAUACGAAACAAAAUGCGGAAAUACUAAUGUUUUAAGAAGAGAAAGAGGGGAAGAACACCGGAAACCCAGUGAAAAAUAUUCAAAGAUGAUCCAUUGGACUUACACAUCAUUUAGCAAAAAGGUGGAAUAGUUACUGACAACAGAAGCCAGUAGAGAAAACUUACUGACCAGUAUGUUAUUUAGCACAGAAUGACCUGAGGAUUGUAACUCUUUGUAACUUGGCAGAACCCGAGUUCAAUUCCUUCUAUGAUUGCGAUGUUACUCCAAUACUGAACGUCUUACAAGAGAAUCCUUCAGUCGUGUUAUCCAACUUCGUUAUUGGGUUUAGAAUCUGGUUGUAAUUAUAGGCCAUAUGUGUGUGUUCGUUGUUCAGUAACUUUCUCUAGCUGGAAACAUCAGAUACAAGCACUCACAAGCAGGUGGGCAGAUUUCAAAAAUACCCAGAAGAUAAGAUUCUUAAUUGGACUCAACUAUAUUCUCACUACAAAUUCCAUCGAUGAGAAACCAGCAACUGAGUUAGAAUUCGGCCGAGGUAAACAAUACCUGUCGGUAAUUACAGUAAAUAUUGUGCUGUCCACUCAAGCAACUGCCGUACUGACCACUGUACAAAUAUAUUGUUUUCAUAUUUUGGCACAAGGCCAGUAAUUUUGGGAGCGGAUGUAAGACGAUUACAUCGACCUCAGUGAUCAGGUGGUACUUAUUUUAUCGACUCUGAAAAUAUAAAACGCAAAAUCGCCUUCGGCAGAAUUUGAACUCAGAACGUAAAGGCAGACGAAAUAACACUAAGCAAUCUUCCCGGAGUGUUAACGGCUCUGUCAGCUCACCACCUUCCACUGUACAACUUCAAUACCAAUUACACUAUCCACUGCACUAAUACUGUAUGUAUUGUUGUCAUACCACUGUAUUCAUCGCUAUACGACGACUGCACUAAUCAUUAUACUGGCCAAUAGAAAGUACUGUGUCAACAAAUCUACUAUGAUAAUUUUCUACUAAUAAAUCGUUUACUAGACUACUAAUAACACGGUAAUACUUGCUAAUCAACGACCUCAGCAUUUCUAAAGAAGGCCAUGGUAAUUUGGUAUUCGGCAAUAUAACGAAAGACAAAACUUCUACGAAGCAGACUUAUACAUCACGUUUACUCCGCUUGAACGACAAUAAAGCAUUACAAAUGUCGUGGCACUCCGUCGGUUACGACGACGAGGGUUCCAGUUGAUCCGAUCAACGGAACAGCUUGCUCGUGAAAUUAACGUGCACGUGUCUGUGGAGUGAUCUUAACGUAAUUCUCGGGGUGAUUCAGCGUGACACAGAACGUGACGAGGCUGGCCCCUUUGACCUACAGGUACAAAAGAUACAGGAAGAAAGAGUGAGAAAAAGUUGUGGUGAAAGGGUACAGCAGGAUUCGCUACCACCCUCGCCCGGAAAUUUAGGUGUUUUCGCUCAAUAAAUGCUCACAACGCCCGGACUGGGAAUCGAAACCGCGAGUCCGCUGUCCUAACCAUUGGGUCAUUGCGCCUCCACUAUAACAAAUGUAGGUUACAAAGUUUUACAAAUAUACAAAUUUUGUCAAAUCUCCUUCCUCUGUAUGGCCAGGAUAUAAUUCAAUCCUUGCUUAAUUGGUGACCAAUGAGGAAAUUUCACAACGGAUUAUUUGCACGGAGUACAAGUAAGAGGCAUCUUUGUAUCUGAGAUAUUGUUGCUGUGGAUCCGACAUAUAUUAUAUAACUGAGCCCACAUCCACAGCAGGGUUCUACGCAACACUGCCAAUUAUUCAUUCAAUAAUACAAUACACUACAGUCACUACCACACAGAUGGUUUCUUCUCUCUCCCUCCCUCCGUCUUCCUCUCUCUUUUUCCCUCCCUCCCUCUUUCUUUCUCUCUUUCUCUUCCUCUCUCCCUCCCUCUCUCUUUCUCUUUCUCCUUCCCUCCCUCUUUCUCCCUUCCUCCCUCUUUCUCCCUUCCUCCCUCUUUCUCUCUCUCUUUCUCUCUUUCUCUUUCUCCCUCCUUCCCUCUUUCUCUAUUUCUCCUUUCUCUCUCCAUCUUUAUCUCUUUCUCUCUCUCUUUUAGUUUUUUUCUCUCUUUCUAUCUCUCUCUCUUUCUCUCUUUCUCUCUCCCUCCUACUUUCUCUCUGCCUCUUUCUCUCUUCAUCUUUCUUUAUCUCUCUCUAUUUAUCUCUUUCUCUCUCUUUCCUUCUCCUUAUCUCUCUCCCUACCUCUUUCUCUCUAUUUCUCCCUCCCUCUUUCUGUCUUUCUCAUUCUCUCUUUCUCCCUCCUCCCUCUUUCUCUCUUUCUCUUUCUCCCUCCCUCUCUCUCCUCUUCCUCUCUCCCUCUUACCCUUCUAUAGUUAAUCCACCAAAACCAGCUCCUCCGGUCUAGCCUGCAGCAUACAUUUCUCACCUGGGCUGCCUCUACAACACAGUCCAUUCUCCAUUUAUCAUCGGGUAUUGCGCGUCUACCUUAAAUAUUUCCUCCUGUUCUCUACUCCCCAUACUUCAUUUCAAUCAAAAUUUUCCCCCACCCAUUAUUUCCUUCCUUAAAUCGACUAAUAGAUACCAAGCUGAACACCAAUCUUAUUGAUCUCGAGUGGGGGGGGUGAGGGCUAACUGACUGACUUAUAAAACACUAUCAGAAUUUUACUUCGAAUAUUAUCUCAACACAGUAAAAUUUUCAGCUUCCAUCUUCGUCUUCGUUAAUAUCAACAACAACAACAACAACAAUAACAACAACAUCUCUACAGCAUGCAAUGUGUUAUUUAGGCCUUUUGUUCUUUAGUCAUUAACCUAUAUGUGCCAGCAUAAAUCUAAAGUGUCAUCAAAACAAACAUUAACAACAGCGUAAACAUAAAUCACAAGAGCACAAGAAUGGCAGCAAUAACAAGAUCAUUAUCGGUCACAUGAACAACGAUGGUAGUUAUAGCACAAGCACACACGCCAAGACCAUCAGUGAGGUAAUUACUAAGAUAUAGCCACACUAGGCCGUAGCUGCAGCAAAAGACGUACAACGAAAUCAAAUAACAACCUGAAAGUCCUUAAACCCAGAAACAAACGUAGAGAGAAAGCGACGUUGAAGAUAAGUGAUAAAUGGCAGAUAUUUAAUGAGAAUUUGUCUGUCUCAACGGUUACAGUAUAUAGUUACAUGUAUAUGGCGAGAUACAAAUGUAUGGCUGCUUUAAGAUACAUUAUUACAUAGCUUCGAUAUCCAUCACUUGUAUGUCAAAAACAAUGCUUCUGAUAUUCCAUUAAAAUAUUUUCCCGUAUUUUACUUCAUUGCGAAGUAAAUGAUUUUGAUAUUUUAAUAUUGUUAGACAAGGAAAUGGCUGAGUAAACGCCAGCACAAAUGCCUUCAAGUACUGACAGUAUAUCUUUACGUUCUGAGUUCGAAUAUUGUCGGAACAUAAUACACCAGUCACCUUUCUGGCCUUUAAGCAAAAAUAAAUCAUCGAAAAUGCACUGAUUUCCAUUGAAAUCUUUCGUAUCACUUUAGAAACACCCGUUUACAUUAUUAUUAUUAUUCAUUUAUCGCUAGGAGUUAGCAGCUUAUUAAGAUGAUAUAUCCUAUAAUGGAAUAGUAGUAUUAUCAAACAAGAGAGAGGCAUCUGCCAGCUGUGACAGAGAAUAAAUGAUAGAUCUAGCCAGGUUUCGAUCCUUUUGUCGAUGUUACUUCUGUGUGGUAAGUAGCUUGCUUACGAACCGCAUGGUUCCGGGUUCAGUCCCACUGAGUGGCACCUUGGGCAAGUGUUUUCUACUAUAGCCCCGGGCCGACCAAAUUCUUGUGAAUGGAUUUGGUAGAUGGAAAGUGUAAAAAGGCCUUCGUAUAUAUGUACAUAUAUAUAUAUAUAUAUAUAUAUAUAUAUAUAUAUGUAUGUAUGUAUAUAUAUAUAUAUAUAUAUAUGUAUGUAUGUAUGUAUAUAUAUAUAUAUAUAUGUAUGUAUGUAUAUAUAUAUAUAUAUUUAUAUAUAUAUAUAUAUAUAUAUAUAUGUAUGUAUAUAUAUAUAUAUAUAUAUAUAUAUAUAUAUAUAUAUAUAUAUAUAUAUAUAUAUAUAUAUAUAUAUAUGUAUGUAUGUAUGUAUGUAUGCGCGUGUGUAUGUUUGUGUGUCUGUGUUUGCUCCCCCAACAUCGAUUGACAACCGAUGCUGCUGUGUUUACGUCUCCGUAACUUAGCGGUUCGGCAAAAGAAAGACCGAUAGAAUAAGUACUAGGCUUACAAAGAAUAAGCACUGAGGUCGGUUUGCUCGACUAAAGGCGGUGCUCCAGCAUGGUCACAAUCAAAUGACUGAAACAAGUAAAAGAGUAAAAGAGCUACCUCGCGUUCUAAAAUCGUUUGAAUAACAAUUUUUGUUGGAUGAAAUGGAGAAACACUUACGAUGAUUACAGGCCUUCCUAGAUUUGUGUCAUUAUAUAACAAACUAAUGCUGAACUAAGGGCGGCGCAUUGGUAGAAUCAUUGGUACGUCAGACAAAAUGCCAAACAGCAUUUCUUCGAGUUCUUUACAACCUAAAAAGAUCAAAUCCCACUAACAUCAGCUUUACUUUUCAUCCCUUCGGGUUCAUCAAAUAGGGUACCAGUCAAGUACUGGGGUACUUUUCAUCCCUUCGGGGUUCAUCAAAUAGGGUACCAGUCAAGUACUGGGGUAGAUGCUAUCGACUUGUUCCUUCCCAUCAAAACUGCAAUGGGCCGACAUCUCGUUUAGGAGAAUAUUGUGAUCUCGGUCUCUUACACCAUGGGAACCGAGGCUCAGCCAAAAGAUCUGAAUGGUAAUGCGUGUAGAAACAAAACAUGGAUAUAAAGGAGUUUUAAUACGUAGAAAUUUGGGAGAAUUCUGAGUUUAGAGCGAGUAAUGUGCGGGGAACGACAGAUACAUGAAAAGGAGAGAAAGCAAAGAACAGGCAAACGGAUUUGGCACAAAGUUAAAGAACUUUCAGAGGAGUAAGAACUACUGUGAAAACGUGUAGGCGCAAUGGCCCGGUGGUGAGGGCAGCGGACUUGCGGUCAUAGGAUCGCGGUUUCGAUUCCCAGACCGGGCGUUGUGACUGUUUAUUGAGCGAAAACACCUAAAAGCUCCACGAGGCUCCGGUAGGGGAUUGUGGUGAUCCCUGCUGUACUCUUUCACCACAACUUUCUCUCACUCUUACUUCCUGUUUUUGUUGUACCUGUAUUUCAAGGGUCCGGCCUUGUCUCUCUCUGUGUCACGCUGAAUAUCCCGAGAACUACGUUAAGGGUGCACGUGUCUGUGGAGUGCUCAGCCACUUACACGUUAAUUUCACGAUCAGGCUGUUCCGUUGAUUCGGAUCAACCGGAACCCUCAUCGUCGUAACCGACGGAGUGCUUCCUCACCGUGAAAACGAUACAGAAAAGAAACUAUGCUCGUCUUUAUAGUGUUGGUGAGCGAAUAUAUCAGUUGAAUAAAGUCGUUUAAUUCUUAUGCAGACUCGGGUAUUUGUUUGCCUGUAGCAUGAAAAUCUACGUUAUAAGUGGGGAUGCUGAAUAGAUUCUGGCUUUAAGGAUGUCGCAAAAGGCCUGGUUGGAGGCCCAAACUUCCGAGUUCUUUUACAGGACUUACAAAAUGUGAAGGACCACUACAACAAGUGUGUGAAUCUGAGAGGGGAUGUGGAAGCACUCCGUUGGUUACGACGACGAGGGUUCCGGUUGAUCCGAUCAACGGAACAGCCUGCUCGUGAAAUUAACGUGUAAGUGGCUGAGCACUCCACAGACACGUGUACCCUUAACGUAGUUCUCGGGGAUAUUCAGCGUGACACAGAGAGUGACAAGGCCGGCCCCUUGAAAUACAGGUACAACAGAAACAGGAAGUAAGAGUGAGAGAAAGUUGUGGUGAAAGAGUACAGCAGGGAUCACCACCAUCCCUGCCGGAGCCUCGUGGAGCUUUUAGGUGUUUUCGCUCAAUAAACAGUCACAACGCCCGGUCUGGGAAUCGAAACCGCGAUCCUACGACCGCGAGUCCGCUGCCCUAACCACUGGGCCAUUGCGCCUCCACAAGAGGGGAUAUAUGUUGAAUAAAUUCAUAAUUAACUGAUCCUCAUGUAUUUUCUUUUACCCAAAGCCAGGAACUUUUAAUCACCCCCCUCGUAUAUAUACAUGCGUGUGUGUGUGUGUGUGUGUGUAUGUGUGUGUGUGUGCGUGUGUGUGUGUUUAGCUAUUCAUAUUCUUUUAUAUUCUUUGAUUUCAAUGUGAAAUUUCUAAUCCCACCUCACAUUGUGGUGAGAUUGUUACCUACCUUUGUGUUAACGUUCAUCUACAGGGCGUUACACGUAUGUGGCAUUAUGAGAGAUUGUGGGGACCGAACAUUUCUAUCAACUUUGAAGUCGUGUGCUUUUACAUGUGUAGAGGUAAUAUAAUUCAUGAUCGUUACAUGUAGGGAUUAAGUGUGAGGAGUUUUUGUCCAUGGAAAUCGUACAAACUUGAAGUCUAUAUCACAUAUGAGAAAAUCACUUGUCCGUGGAACGUGAAGGAACACUGAAAGGUUGAUAGUGGAAUCUAUAGCUAUGACCUACACCCGAUGGCAUAUAUUCGUACAUUGUUUUCGAAAAAAAACUAAGGUCGCAAAAUGAUCACCCUGGGUCUUAUAUCCAUAUGUUAAUUUUCCUUUAAUCUACUAAAAACUUCCUUUCGGAAUAUGCACCCCUGAAACUGGGUGCAUUUAAUUUACCCAUGUGUCUUUUAUGCCAAAAAAUAUAACUAUAUUGAUACUGUUCCUCUCUUUUACAAUAAAACAAUGAAUAGUAUGUUAAGUUGUACUAUACCAAUAAUAGUUUGUGAGAUAUCUAUCAGAAGUUUAAUAUUUAUUUCUUUAUUGCCCACAGUGGGAUAAACACAGAGGGGACAAAUAAGGACAGACGAACGGAUUAAGUCGAUUAUAUAGACCCCAGUGCGUAAUUUGUACUUAUUUAAGUGACCCAGAAAGGAUGAAAGGCAAAGUUGACCUCGGUGAAAUUUGAACUCAGAACGUAACGGCAGACGAAAUACCUAUUUCCUUACUACCCACAAGGGGCUAAACACAGAGAGGACAAACAAGGACAUACAAACGGAUUAAGUUGAUUAUAUCGUCCCCAGUGCAUAACUGGUACUUGAUUUAUCGACUCUAAAAGGAUGAAAGGCAAAGUCGAGAUCAGCGGAAUUUGAACUCAGAACGUACCGGCAGACGAAAUACGUCUACGCAUUUCGCCCGGCAUGCUAACGUUUCUGCCAGCUCGCCGCCUUUCAGAAGUUUAAUAUAACAAAAGAAAUAUGGGGCAUAAAUAUAUGAAUUAGCUGUAAAAAAUGUAGAAUUCACGAGUUAGUUUAUGUGAAGAACUGAAUCAAAAUGCAUUGGAUUAAAUAAACAGACAACACGAAAACAACAAAGAAACCUACACCUGUAAAUAUAAAACCCAGAUCAGUACCCUAAUAUAUAAUCAAACAGUAUUUUAUUUAUUGCUUUGAAACUUAAGGCAACAAGAUGGCAUAAUUGUUAUCACAUCGGGCAGAAUUGUUUAGCGUCAGUUCUUCCCGUUUUAUGUUCUGAAUUCAAAUUACACCGAGGUCAGUUAUGCUUUUCAUCCUUACGGGAUCAAUAGAAUUAAGUGCCAGUUGAGCAGGGCGGUCCAUGUAAUCGACAAUCGUUAUCCCGCCAAAAUUCAGGUUUUGUACCUGCAGUAGAAAGAACUAAUUAUUUUGUGCUUAUUAACUUCACAACUUAUCUGAGAUCUGAGACAAUUUCUCUUUCUAAACGUCACUAAAUUCCAUAACUUUUCAGUAAUGGAUUUAAACUACAUCGAGUACAAUUGAUCUCAAAGUUUCAUUAAUAUUCUUAAAAUCCCCUUCCCAGUCCCUUGAAGAUCUUCGUGCUAACCUUAGACUUGGAUUCCAAACUAAAUCAAAAUAUGUUUCUAUUGAUUUGUAACAUUGGCAAGAAGCCAGCACUUUGUAAAAGCAUAGGUAUUGUCGAUUAGAUUGAUUCCAUUAUGUUUAAUAAAGAAACAGAGGGAGAAACCAGGAAGGAACAAUCGAUUACAGUCUUAGCCAAAAUAGCCUAUAUAUAUAUAUAUAUAUAUAUAUAUAUAUAUAUAUAUAUAUAUAUAUAUAAUCAUGUGUGUAUGUAUGUAUAUCUCUCUGCAUAUAUGUCUAAAAUAUGUAUGCAUGCAUCUUUAUUAAUGUGUGUGUGUAACUCUAACAGAUCUGGAGCUUUUAUUCACUGGUAAUAAAAAAAAGAGACUGCGCACGUACUUCACAGAAGGUCUAAGAGACUGAUUUUAGUGACAAUAGUCACAUAUUAAACCAUAUAAGGAGGGGAGACCCAACGGCAAUACAUUAUGAUAUUAUACAUAAAGACUCUGAGAUAAUAGCACUUGAUCUUCCUCUCAGUGCAAAACGAUGUCGAUCUCUGAUAGAAAUGAGGAAACUAUCCAAAUAGAAAGGCAGGUCAAUAGAAAUAUCCGGAAAGUGGGAAGUAAAAAUUGAAAAUGUCUCCCAAAUAGGUGUCUUGAUAAGAAUUGGCAAAAGAUGAUAUAAAAAUAUUGUUUAAUAUCGUAACACUCCGUCGGUGACGACAGCGAGUGGUACAGUUGAUACGAUCAACGGAACAGCCUGCUCGUGAAAACGGGUAAGUGACUGAGCACUCCACAGACACGGGUACCCUUAACGUAAUUCUCGGGGAGAUUCAGCGUAACACAGAGUGUGACAAGGAUGGCCCUUUAAAAUAUAAGUACAACAGAAACAAGAAGAAAGGGUGAAAGGAAGUUGUGGUGGAAGAGUACAGCAGGGUUCGCCACCACCCACUGCCAGAGCAUCGUGGAACUUUAAGUGUUUUCGCUCAGUAAACCACGAUCCCCAAAUGUUGCCAGCAAAUAGAUUACGGCGAAAGAAUAUAGCAAGAAUAUCACAACCUGAUUGUUGUAAAGCCACUGUUGUAUCUGUCUUUGUUCGACGGUUGUCACUCUGACAGAUAUUGUUAUAUUCCGAAGUGGUUGAUAGAAGUGUUCUCAGGUGGCACUCUAUGAUCCCCAAUCGUACUGUGUUAUUAUCCUCAAAAGACUGGAUCGUUAUAACGUCCACUCAGUAUCACAGUAUAAUUACUAUAUCAGCACAGACACGACUCUCAACACAGUCUAGCACAUACUUCCCGUGCUCUACGUACUCGCUCGAUACCGGCCGAGGUCACCUUACUUGUAGUGACUGGGUCAUUCCACUCGUCACGUGGGAGACGUGUACCAUUAUUACUAAUUCUCUACGACACUAAUAAACAGUCUAUUUCCUACAUAGCAUAAUCACAUGAUCGACCAGACAAUCGGGUGUUGUUAUACAACGCUGAUCACAGUGCGCUUUGCAUCGUUUUAGCUUUCGAAAGAUGCCACCCUUCACUGGCUACGUGAGCUGUCGAAGAUUACUCCCUAUCGGAAGAUUAAUCCACCGCAUGGUUACAACUGAGUGGACUGGCGCAACGUGAAACGAAGUAUCUUGCUCAAAAGCACAAUGCGCUGCUCGGUCUGAGAAUUGUACCCACGAUCGCUAUAUCGUGAGUGCAAUACCCUAACCACUUGGUCACGUGCCUUCAUAACAUAUAUUCAUGAAAAACAUGUUAAUUUUAUAGUAUACUAGCAGUAUCGCCCGGUGUUGCUCGGGUUUGUAAGGGAAAUAACUAUAUAGCAUUUUUAGAGAGUUAUAGCCAAAAAAUAGCAAAAAAUGCAUUAAAAAUGAAAAAAAGAUUAUGGUAAUUUUUUUUUUAAUCGUUGACUCAUCGUAGACAUUUUUAGAGAGUUACUUCCCUUAUAUUUAAAAAAUAUGCAUUAAAAUGGAAAGAAAUGAUGGUAAAUUAUUUUUAAAAUCGUAGACAGAAGGGCUCGAUAUGAAUCACGACUAUAAGAUACCUGGUUUUGGUUAAACUGCACCGCAAAAUGUGGGAGUAGUUAGGAAUCUUAAUCGGAGUAGACAGACACACAACCUUUCUUUUAUAUAUAAAGAUUUUAACUUUUAUCUUUUAUUUGUUUCACUGAUUAGAAAAUGGUUGUGUAUGGGAACCCCUUAAAAGGGUUUUAUCGAACAUAGCGAUCACAGUGCUAAUUUUUUAAGUUUCAUGUCUGGUACUUAUUCUAUCAGCAUUCUUACCGAGCUGCUAGGUUACAGGGACGUAAACAAACCAUCAAUCUAUAUCUUUUGAAUUCGGUAUCUAACGCGAAGGAAACACUAAAUGCAUGUUUUGUAAAUUAAAUAUAUUUCGACAUUUAUUUUCUGUUAGUUAUUAUAGACAUCCAGCGAAAAACAUACAUCAACUUCCCCAAUAUAAUUUUGGUAUGAUCUAUUAUUGUUUGUGGAGGCGCAAUGGCCCAGUGGUUAGGGCAGCGGACUCACGGUCGUAGGAACGCGGUUUCGAUUCCCAGACCGGACGUUAUGUGUGUUUAUUGAGCGAAAACACCUAAAGCUCCACGAGACUCCGGCAGGGGGUGGUGGCAAUCUGUGCUGUACGCUUUCGCCACAACUUUCUCUCACGCUUUCUUCUGUAGGCCUGCUCGCUUAGCCAGCGGGGUGGCGUCAUUUGAAGGCUAAAACAAUGCGUAGCGCAUUCUGACCAGCGAUGUGUAGCAACAUCUGAUAGCUUGGUCGGUCACGGUGAUCGCAGUGAUUAUUGUUUGUAUUGACUCUAAAAUGACACCUAAAUUUUUAUCGAAUAGUUUGUUCGCUCAUUAAUUCAUUGUUCCAAAAAAAUCAGCAAUCGGUUGUGCCUAAACUGAUAUUGGUGUGCCUUUUUACAGCAUAAAAUAAUUUGAAGAAUAGUAUACUAUGAAUUCUAGUUGAGUCAUUUUUAGUGUUUCCCCAUUGAAGAGCUUUCUUUGCCUUCAACGUAAUAAACCUCUUCUCCUCAUGCUACACUGAUAUUCCCUACAGUUUGUUCUCUUUUAAUCUUUUACCUGUUUCAGUCAUUUGACUGUGGCCAUGCUGGAGCACAGCCUUUAAUCGAGCAAACGACCCCAGGACUUAUUCUGUGUAAGCCUAGUACUUAUUCUAUCGGUCUUUUUUGCCGAACCACUAAGUUACGCGGACGUAAACACACUAGCAUCAGUUGUCAGGCGAUGUUCGGGGUGGACAAACACAAACAUAUACACACACACACACAUACAUAUAUAUAUAUAUAUAUAUAUAUAUAUAUAUAUAUAAACAUAGUAAAUAGGGUAAUAAAAAUAAAUUAUUAUUACCAGUGACCUAGCACAAAAGACGAAUUAGUCAUUAGACUAUAUGUUAUUCAUAUAUAAAUACAUUAAAAGGCUUCCAAAUAAAGAAGCGAGUGCUAGAUACACAAAAAGGGGAUAAAUUCAUGAAAUGGAAUGAAAAUCAAAAACGUUUACCAACUCAGCUAAUCCUGCACCGCGGUUUCAUCUUUUUUUUA